rnacentral:rRNA from 1 species
GCGAUAACACCAGCACUAAUGCACCGGAUCCCAUCAGAACUCCGAAGUUAAGCUUGCUUGGGCGAGGGCAGUACUAGGAUGGGGAACCCCUGGGAAGUCCUCGUGUUGCAGCUA